UGAAGUAAUCUCUGUUGCCGGUCAAAAUAAACUAAAGUUGCACCACGGCUGCUGAUUCCGUCCACCUCGUUGAAGCAUAUAGCAGGAGAGAGAGAGAGAGAGAGAAAGAGAGCGAUUGUAUGAACAGCUGUCAACCAUACAGCGCUGUCUGAAGUAUGCUAAAUGCCAUUUGUACUUGCACAUAGCAUUCAGCUUUGUGUUAUUUACGUGGCCUUUAGUUUACGCUUUAGGCAAUGGAUGGCGCUAACAAGCGGGCAUUUCAAAUUUUGAAUUUUCGUUUUCAAAUGUGUGUUUAU